GUAGGGAAUAUUGGGCAAUGGUCGGAAGACUGACCCAGCCAUGCCGCGUGCAGGAAGACGGCCCUCUGGGUUGUAAACUGCUUUUAUCUGGGAAAAAAAAGGCCAUGCGUGACAAAUUGCCGGUACCAGAUGAAUAAGCACCGGCUAACUCCGUGCCAGCAGCCGCGGUAAUACGGAGGGUGCGAGCGUUGUCCGGAUUUAUUGGGUUUAAAGGGUGCGUAGGCGGCUGAUUAAGUCAGCGGUGAAAGACUUCGGCUUAACCGGAGCAGUGCCGUUGAUACUGGUUGGCUUGAGUGUCGGAGGGGUACAUGGAAUUGAUGGUGUAGCGGUGAAAUGCAUAGAUACCAUCAGGAACACCGAUAGCGAAGGCAUUGUACUGGCCGACAACUGACGCUGAUGCACGAAAGUGUGGGGAUCGAACAGGAUUAGAAACCCGUGUAGUCC
rnacentral:rRNA from 1 species